rnacentral:rRNA from 1 species
GUGGGGAAUAUUGGACAAUGGGCGGAAGCCUGAUCCAGCCAUGCCGCGUGUGUGAAGAAGGUCUUCGGAUUGUAAAGCACUUUAAGUUGGGAGGAAGGGCAGUAAGCUAAUACCUUGCUGUUUUGACGUUACCGACAGAAUAAGCACCGGCUAACUUCGUGCCAGCAGCCGCGGUAAUACGAAGGGUGCAAGCGUUAAUCGGAAUUACUGGGCGUAAAGCGCGCGUAGGUGGUUUUGUAAGUUGGAGGUGAAAUCCCCGGGCUCAACCUGGGAACUGCCUCCAAAACUGCAUGACUAGAGUACGGUAGAGGGUAGUGGAAUUUCCUGUGUAGCGGUGAAAUGCGUAGAUAUAGGAAGGAACACCAGUGGCGAAGGCGACUACCUGGACUGAUACUGACACUGAGGUGCGAAAGCGUGGGGAGCAAACAGGAUUAGAAACCCCAGUAGUCC